rnacentral:misc_RNA from 1 species
AAAUAAAGAAACAAAAAGUGAAAUAUGUAAGGAUGAAGAUAAUAAAGUUUAAAGGAAAUUGUGGAUGAAGUCCACAAUCUCCAUCAUUUGCAAGCAUCAAGCGGAGCGCCGCACAAACACUUGUUAUGAAAAUAAGAAUACAAAUCAAAGCUUUGCAACGCCCCACCCACCGGAAUCUUCCCACAAAGCCGAUUAUAACUCACAUUCAAAUACUGCAAAUUCAAUUCCGUCAUCGCCGGCGGCAAACCCCCAAACACCUUAUUAUGAUUAACAUCCAACGAUGUCAAGCUCUGAG